UACAGAGACUGCAAGCGUUAUUCGGAUUCACUGGGCGUAAAGGGUGCGCAGGCGGCCGUGUGUGUGAGGCGUGAAAGCCCGGGGCUUAACCCCGGAAUUGCACCUCAAACUACAUGGCUAGAGCAUUGGAGAGGGUAGCGGAAUUCACGGUGUAGCAGUGAAAUGCGUAGAUAUCGUGAGGAUCACCAGAGGCGAAGGCGGCUACCUGGACAAUUGCUGACGCUCAGGCACGAAAGCGUGGGGAGCAAAAGGG
rnacentral:rRNA from 1 species